AUUCAGGUAGUUUAAGAAAAUAAGAAAAUAUUGGUUUGUGGUGCCAGAGAAAUAUUAAAAUAUUCUGAAUU
rnacentral:tRNA from 1 species